UACGGGGGGGGCAAGCGUUGUUCGGAAUUACUGGGCGUAAAGGGCUCGUAGGCGGCCAACUAAGUCAGACGUGAAAUCCCUCGGCUUAACCGGGGAACUGCGUCAGAUACUGGAUGGCUUGAGAUUGGGAGAGGGAUGCGGAAUUCCAGGUGUAGCGGUGAAAUGCGUAGAUAUCUGGAGGAACACCGGUGGGGAAGGCGGCAUCCUGGGCCAACACUGACGGUGAGUGAGCGAAAGCCAGGGGAGCAAACGGG
rnacentral:rRNA from 1 species